UUUUGAGUGUUUUGACUCUUAUUUCAUCAAUAGUAUUCUGAUUUGUAUAUUUAUAAUAGUUUUGAUUUUCAUAAGUAUUACUGAAUUUAUUAUUGAGUUGGAAAAUCAGAUUUUAGGAUUCAAAUUGAUGUUAUUUGGGUUGUUGUUAUUAAAGAUUGAAUCUUUUGCUUUUUAUUAAAGGUAUAAACAGAGUUCCUUCUCUCUUUUCAAUUAAUGUAAUUCGGGCAAUUUGUUUGGUGGAUUUUUGGUAAAAUAUCUGGUAAUUCGUUGUGGUUAUAGAAUGAUAAUUAUGGUUUCAUAAUUAUUUCUUUUCAACCUCUUAUAUUGUUAUUAAGAGAGCAAAUUACUUUUUGUAAAGAACUUGGUUUUGAUUAUAAAGUUCAGGAAUUGUUUUUGUGUCAAUUCGUUCAAUAUAUCUGUAUUGAAAUCCAUGAUUGUGAGUCUGCCAAGUUAGUUGAGCAGUGAUUAUUGGGAAAAUUCAGCUAGUUGAAGAUAAUAAGACUAAGGAAUCAAGAUUUUAGUUACAAGCUAGUUACUCUCAAAUAUAUAAGAUGCUAUUAUAUUUAUCAUGGUGCGAGCAAUAUUAUUAAUGGGUUGUGAGCCAUAAAGUGGUCAUUGGGUUAUAGGAUUCCAGAUAAUUAAGCAAAGGAAUUUAUGAUUGCAAGUUGAAUUUGAGUGUAUACUCUACUUGAGAAUGGUUACUAAUGAUAAUUAUUGUUUUAUGGUAAAUCGUUGUGGAGUUCAUAUAUCGAUUGGUAUGCAAAGAUGAUGUACUAAUGGGGCUAUAUGCGAAGUUGGGUAAAGAGUUCAUUAUUAGUGAUUUGCAGGUUCGUGUGCGGAAAGCUCAGAAUGGAGUCAAAAGGAAGAAUCAGUUAUCAAGGUUAUAAUUAGAUAUAAUGGCUCAGAAGUUGUAUUUAGGAUUAUAUAUCCUAAUUUGUGAAUAACUUAUUAUAUUAUUUUGGAAGUCGAGCAAGGUAUUAUGUAAUAUGUUAUUUGGUUUUCGAGGAUGACUGUGGUAGGCCCAUAACCCACAGGUCCAGGAUCGCUUUAAGGUUUAUGUUCCGCUGCGAGUAAUUAUUAAUUCGAGGUUUAUUAAGCGUUGAUUGUAAUUAGUGAAUCUUAAGUAUGUUUAGCUAGCAGCUCGGAAGUGCGGGCUGUUACACACUCCAAUAUAUGUCUUCAUGAAGUUCAUCAUGUAGAUCUCAA